CCUACGGGUGGCAGCAGUGAGGAAUAUUGGUCAAUGGGCGGGAGCCUGAACCAGCCAAGUCGCGUGAGGGAAGACGGUCCUAUGGAUUGUAAACCUCUUUUGUCGGGGAGCAAUGCCGGGCACGCGUGCCCGGAGGGAGAGUACCCGCAGAAUAAGCAUCGGCAAACUCCGUGCCAGCAGCCGGGGUAAUCCGGAGGAUGGGGGGUUUUUCGGGAUUUAUGGGGUUUAAGGGUUGCGUAGGGGGAUUAUUAAUUAAGCGGGAAAGUUUCCGGGCUCAACCCGGGCCGGCCGUUGAAACUGGGGAUCUUGAGUGGGCGAGAGGUAUGCGGAAUGCGUGGUGUAGCGGUGAAAUGCAUAGAUAUCACGCAGAACUCCGAUUGCGAAGGCAGCAUACCGGCGCCCGACUGACGCUGAGGCACGAAAGCGUGGGGAUCGAACAGGAUUAGAUACCCUGGUAGUC
rnacentral:rRNA from 1 species